GCGUUUAGCUCAGCUGGUUUAGAGCAUCUGCCUUACAAGCAGAGGGUCGGCGGUUCGAUUAUGAGCCGUUCUACAACGUA
rnacentral:tRNA from 1 species